rnacentral:rRNA from 1 species
AAAAGCUCGUAGUUGAAUUUCUGGUCAAUUGUAGUCUUGGCUUCGGUCGGGCUAUGGUUGGUCAUCCGUUUGCAAGCUGCACUCGGCCUUCACUGGUUCGGUGUAGUGAGCUGACAUUUUACUUUGAAAAAAUUAGAGUGUUUCAGGCAGGCUUUUGCCCGAAUACAUUAGCAUGGAAUAAUGGAAUUGGACUUUGAUCCAUUUGGUUGGUUAUUGGAUCUGAGUAAUGGUUAAUAGGGACAGUUGGGGGCAUUAGUAUUUAAUUGUCAGAGGUGAAAUUCUUGGAUUUAUUAAAGACUAACUUAUGCGAAAGCAUUUGCCAAGGAUGUUUUCAUUAAUCAAGAACGAAAGUUAGGGGAUAAAAGAUGAUCAGAUACCAUUGUAUUCUUAACUAUAAACUAUACCGACUCGGAAUUGGUAGGGUAUUUUAGCUCUAUCAGCACCGUAGGAGAAAUCAAAGUCUUUGGGUUCUGGGGGGAGUAUAGUCGCAAGGCUGAAACUUAGAGGAAUUGACGGAAGGGCACCACCAGGAGUGGAACCUGCGGCUUAAUUUGACUCAACACGGGGAAACUUACCAGAUCAAAACAUGGGUGGGAUUGACAGAUUGAGAGCUCUU